rnacentral:rRNA from 1 species
UGGAGAGUUUGAUCCUGGCUCAGGACGAACGCUUUCGGCGUGCCUAAUACAUGCAAGUCGAGCGGACAGAUGGGAGCUUGCUCCCUGAUGUUAGCGGCGGACGGGUGAGUAACACGUGGGUAACCUGCCUGUAAGACUGGGAUAACUCCGGGAAACCGGGGCUAAUACCGGAUGCUUGUUUGAACCGCAUGGUUCARACAUAAAAGGUGGCUUCGGCUACCACUUACAGAUGGACCCGCGGCGCAUUAGCUAGUUGGUGAGGUAACGGCUCACCAAGGCGACGAUGCGUAGCCGACCUGAGAGGGUGGGCGGCCACACUGGGACUGAGACACGGCCCAGACUCCUACGGGAGGCAGCAGUAGGGAAUCUUCCGCAAUGGACGAAAGUCUGACGGAGCAACGCCGCGUGAGUGAUGAAGGUUUUCGGAUCGUAAAGCUCUGUUGUUAGGGAAGAACAAGUGCCGUUCAAAUAGGGCGGCACCUUGACGGUACCUAACCAGAAAGCCACGGCUAACUACGUGCCAGCAGCCGCGGUAAUACGUAUUUGGCAAGCGUUGUCCGGAAUUAUUGGGCGUAAAGGGCUCGCAGGCGGUUUCUUAAGUCUGAUGUGAAAGCCCCCGGCUCAACCGGGGAGGGUCAUUGGAAACUGGGGAACUUGAGUGCAGAAGAGGAGAGUGGAAUUCCACGUGUAGCGGUGAAAUGCGUAGAGAUGUGGAGGAACACCAGUGGCGAAGGCGACUCUCUGGUCUGUAACUGACGCUGAGGAGCGAAAGCGUGGGGAGCGAACAGGAUUAGAUACCCUGGUAGUCCACGCCGUAAACGAUGAGUGCUAAGUGUUAGGGGGUUUCCGCCCCUUAGUGCUGCAGCUAACGCAUUAAGCACUCCGCCUGGGGAGUACGGUCGCAAGACUGAAACUCAAAGGAAUUGACGGGGGCCCGCACAAGCGGUGGAGCAUGUGGUUUAGGUCGAAGCAACGCGAAGAACCUUACCAGGUCUUGACAUCCUCUGACAAUCCUAGAGAUAGGACGUCCCCUUCGGGGGCAGAGUGACAGGUGGUGCAUGGUUGUCGUCAGCUCGUGUCGUGAGAUGUUGGGUUAAGUCCCGCAACGAGCGCAACCCUUGAUCUUAGUUGCCAGCAUUCAGUUGGGCACUCUAAGGUGACUGCCGGUGACAAACCGGAGGAAGGUGGGGAUGACGUCAAAUCAUCAUGCCCCUUAUGACCUGGGCUACACACGUGCUACAAGGGGCAGAACAAAGGGCAGCGAAACCGCGAGGUUAAGCCAAUCCCACAAAUCUGUUCUCAGUUCGGAUCGCAGUCUGCAACUCGACUGCGUGAAGCUGGAGGCGCUAGUAAUCGCGGAUCAGCAUGCCGCGGUGAAUACGUUCCCGGGCCUUGUACACACCGCCCGUCACACCACGAGAGUUUGUAACACCCGAAGUCGGUGUUGUAACCUUUUUGGAGCCAGCCGCCGAAGGUGGGACAGAUGAUUGGGGUGAAGUCGUAACAAGGUAGCCGUAUCGGAAGGUGCGGCUGGAUCACCUCCUUGUGUUUGGGUUG